UGGCGGACGGGUGAGUAAUGUCUGGGAAACUGCCUGAUGGAGGGGGAUAACUACUGGAAACGGUAGCUAAUACCGCAUAACGUCGCAAGACCAAAGAGGGGGACCUUCGGGCUUCUUGCCAUCGGAUGUGCCCAGAUGGGAUUAGCUAGUAGUGGGGUAACGGCUCACCUAGGCGACGAUCCCUAGCUGGUCUGAGAGGAUGGCCAGCCACACUGGAACUGAGACACGGUCCAGACUCCUACGGGAGGCAGCAUG
rnacentral:rRNA from 1 species